UAACUAGUUAAGUUUAUUCAUUUGCCAUUUUUUGGACCCCUAGCAUUGGGCUUGAUGAUGCAAAUAGAAGAAAUCCAUUAGCUGUGGCUCUUGGUCUGCUCUUGAGGGAGCUCACGGGCUGUGGAGGAGACAGACGUGCAUACAGGCAAACCACAAACGUAUACAAAUCAAGAACAAAGUGCUGUGAGAGCACAGAGAGCGAACAAUUGAUCUCUCACAUAGCAUGAGAAUAUGUGUGAUGUGGCUUUUCUGGGGGAGAGGAUGACCAGAGAUGUAUGCCAUUCCGAAAAACUGCCUGUGAGUUGAGCAUCCCUGGAAAUGUGCCCUACCUGUUUUGUGGCGUUGCCUCACCCCGAAUAAACUGCCCGAAUAGCAUCGCUGUGAAGAUCGUCUGUUGUGGGCACGGGUAAUUUUAUUACCUCAGUAACCACCAUAAAAUUGAAAGAAGCACGUCCUAGGAAGAUCGAUGCCGGGGACAGAAUCGCCUGGAAAAAAGUAUGGUGGAAUUGCGGUUGCUGGAGGAAUUCUGCUUUUCAAAUAUUUUUGUAAACCAUGCACAAGCUUAUCUGCAUGACCUUCUUGCAAGUAGCAAAGGCCAAUGGUAUUUGUUUUACAAGGAUAUAGACGUUCAUUCUGAUCACCAGCCGUUGGGGAUGAGGUGGAAGAGGCAUUGGUGACUGUGCAUUCCUGAGUCAUGUGACUGCAAAGGUAACUUCACCUAGGACAGAGGAUAGCAUACUUCUUUAGGAAGCUUCCCUUCGUUUUCCAAGGUAAGUUGGAGGGAAAGGUAAGAUGAGAAGGAGUUCUCCUGUAUCAGGUUUGAUUUGAGAAGGAGAACCACAAUGAGUGAUAUGAGAUAAGGGGUUUGUGAUAGGGGUUAGACUUCCCACAACUGUGGAAUCUGGUAAAGAAUUCUAUAGAAGACUAUCGCUUCUGAUGUAUCUGAUGUGGGCACGAAGUUGCUGUGAGUCUGUAGGACUGUCGUCAGAAAGAAAAGCUGCACGUGCAAUGGGAGAGAACAAAAAUCAAUUGGAUCCCAUGAGGUUCAACUGGACGACUGAAGGACAAACUGCCUUGGACUAGAAUAACGUGAAGGAAGUUCUGCGGCAAGGACUGGAGUUGCUGUCGACCUGGAGAGUCCCAGGUCACCAAGGUGAACUGGAAGAUGAAUGACAACGUUCACAAGCUGCAACUGUGCCUCACACCAUUCGUUGACCUUCAGAGUAUAAAGGCUGCUGCUUCACUUCUGCCUUACAAGCGUAACAGAAAUUUCUCUGGCCAGUCCUAACCUGGCACCAUAAAGGGAAGGAAAUUUUGAGAAGUGCAGUCCAGCUUGUCUAAGAUGACACAGUAUGAAGCCACCAACCACAUGUCAUAAGAUCCUUGUUUUAAGUACAGAGUGAGAGAAGGCCUUAGAGAGGUCAGGUGCUUCUACAUUUCCCAUAGAAUUCUUCUGCGAUCCUACUAGAAGAGAGUGCAACAUUGACUUUUGAUUCAGCUGGCAUUUAAUACUAAGAUGUGUAGAUUUAUGAGCUUUUGUGGCUAUUUUCUCACUUAUUCCUCCCAGCAACCCUGAAAGAUGGCUAUUAUAUCCUCUACAUCUUACAGUUGAGGGUACUGGGGUAUGUGUUCACCAGGGAGCCUGAGGGAGAGAAAGAAGCAGGGACAUUACUACCA
ensembl:lncRNA